rnacentral:lncRNA from 1 species
CUUCUUUUUUUUUUUUUUUUAAAAAAAAAAAAAGGUAGAAAAAAGAAAAUGCAACACGGGCAAUCUCUGCCGUACGUUGUGUAAACGCAUAAAGCUGUGAGUGGCUUUAUUUUUUUUUAGCUCGCACAUCAGCGGUGCUCCGGGCUGUCGCUCUGCUUCCGCGCAUGUGCGGAGCCGGCAGGCUCGCCUAAUGAGGCGGAGCCGGGCGGCGCCGCAGGACCCCUGCCCGCGGCAAAAUGGCGGCGUCCUUCUCUGGAGUGGGAGCCGCGCCGGGCCGGCCUCGGGUCGGGACGGGCCGGGACACCGAGGCGCGGUGUCGCAACGAGGUUGGUGGUCGGUGCCGCCCCGCCGCGGGGCGGGGCGAGGCGGCGGUCGGUCGGGGCGCCGCGCGGUCGACGGCUUCUGCGGAAAUGGCCCGUGUGCGGGGCGGGGGCGGCGCCGCGCCGGGCCGGGCCGGGCCGGACCGGGCGUGCGGCGGGGUCUGCACUGCGCGGGGCUUCGGGGGGCUGGGGGAGAGGGGGGAGGAGUGGCGGGAGGCGGUGGGUGGCGGUUGUGUGCGCUUGGCCGACUCCCCUCUGGGUCGGAUGGACUGCUCCGUCCCGCGGCGUGCUGGGAGCUGUAGUUCUGUGGUGCGCGGCCGGUCUUUCCCCGGGCCGGGGCCGGGGCCGGGCCGUGCGCGCCGGGAGGCGCAGGUUGCCGCUGGCUGCGAGCGCGGCUGCCGGCGGGCAGAAACAGCUCCCCGCCGCUAGGACCCUUGUGGGGUUUGUUGCCAAGCAAAGGUGGCACACUGGGUAAACUGAGGAAAUCUGCAGCUGGCGCGCUGCUGUCGCAGGUUUCCCAGGAGAAAGAGCAGCCCGUCUGUCCUGACUGUCCAGGUAAGUCGUAGCGACCUUCGGGUGAAAUCCAGGCGUGCUCUAGUAAUUUUCCUGCACCUCAGGCUCAAAGGCCUGAUUGAAUUUGCAGAACUGUGAACAGAUGAACGGAUUGGAGGAUUUUUUUUUUUUUGGAAGGAGGCAGUCCUUAAACCGAUGCAGUCUAACUGCAUCUAAGAUGUAGGUUGUUACUUCCAUAAGCUAUAAAGGAACUUUACAUGUUUUUUAAAUGGAGUCUCAUGUGCGUGCGUUUGGCUUGUCCUGAUGGCUGGUGUAGGUGAUUGCUCACAUGACCAAAAACUCCUUGUGCUGAUGUUGGAUCUGCCCGUUGGUAAAGGACCGCAUCCUAUAUGUUCAGCUUUUUUUCCUUACCGUGUCGUAGUUAUUUUAUUAUUAUAUUUUUCUGAAAGAAAGGGUAGAUUUUUCAUUGGUUUCUCUGUGAGCAUAUCGAACCAGAUUGCAGUAAAUACACGUAAGCGAGUAGGCUGCAGCACGUACUGGUCAGUAUCAGAGUACUACUCUGCUAGCAGAGGAGAGCCAGAUGAAGAUGUUCAGGGUAAGGGCUUGUUCUGCCUCAAGUUGAAUGGAAAGAUUCUGAAGUUGAGCAUCCCGGGGAAUGUUUGUAGGACUAUUUUUAGACGAUGGAAGUUCAAUGGCUGUCGAUGAAGGGGAUUUUGUUGGCUCUUUUAGACAGCUAUUCCUACCGAAGAUCCCAUCGGUUACAAAAGGUGGUAACCUUGCAGUUUCUACGGUCUGUAGCAAAAUAAACUGGCAGAUGAAUAAAUGAGCA